CUAGGAAAUUGCCCUGAUGUGGGGGAUAACCAUUGGAAACGAUGGCUAAUACCGCAUGAUGCCUACGGGCCAAAGAGGGGGACCUUCGGGCCUCUCGCGUCAGGAUAUGCCUAGGUGGGAUUAGCUAGUUGGUGAGGUAAGGGCUCACCAAGGCGACGAUCCCUAGCUGGUCUGAGAGGAUGAUCAGCCACACUGGAACUGAGACACGGUCCAGACUCCUACGGGAGGCAGCAGUGGGGAAUAUUGCACAAUGGGCGCAAGCCUGAUGCAGCCAUGCCGCGUGUGUGAAGAAGGCCUUCGGGUUGUAAAGCACUUUCAGUCGUGAGGAAGG
rnacentral:rRNA from 1 species